AUGGUUGUGAAACUAAUAGAUGACGGAUGGGAAGUGAUCUACUUUUUUGGUGAGCACAACCAUCCAUUGGUUGACAAUCCAUCUUUGACUAAGUAUUUGCAAUGACACCAAGGGAUCACAGCAGACGAAAGGGCCUUCCUUACCCACCUUCAUAACUGCAAUUUGACUGGAGGUCGUAUGAUGCACAUCAUGUCAGAAUACUAUGGGACGAAACUCAUCGUCCCUUGCGGCACUAAGCACAUUACGAACCUCAAGACGGUCUUGAAUAAGGAUGCUACAAGAGAAGAGGAUAUCAUAGAGACAGUUGCAUUCUUUAAAGACCAGCAAAAGGAGGAUCCAUAUUUUUUACAAGAUACAGUAUGA
rnacentral:rRNA from 1 species